rnacentral:rRNA from 1 species
UACGUAGGGUCCGAGCGUUGUCCGGAAUUAUUGGGCGUAAAGAGCUCGUAGGCGGUCUGUUGCGUCCGCUGUGAAAACUCGGGGCUUAACCCCGAGCCUGCAGUGGAUACGGGCAGACUAGAGGUAGGUAGGGGAGAAUGGAAUUCCCGGUGUAGCGGUGAAAUGCGCAGAUAUCGGGAGGAACACCGGUGGCGAAGGCAGGUCUCUGGGCAUUAACUGACGCUGAGGAGCGAAAGCAUGGGGAGCGAACAGG